UACAGAGGUCUCAAGCGUUGUUCGGAUUCAUUGGGCGUAAAGGGUGCGUAGGCGGCGCGGUAAGUCGGGUGUGAAAUCUCGGAGCUUAACUCCGAAACUGCAUUCGAUACUGCCGUGCUUGAGGACUGGAGAGGAGACUGGAAUUUACGGUGUAGCGGUGAAAUGCGUAGAUAUCGUAAGGAAGACCAGUGGCGAAGGGCGGGGUCUCUGGGACAGUUCCUGACGCUGAGGCACGAAGGCCAGGGGAGCAAACGGG
rnacentral:rRNA from 1 species